rnacentral:rRNA from 1 species
UAAACCUCUUUCAGCGCCGAAGAAGCGAAAGUGACGGUAGGCGCAGAAGAAGCACCGGCUAACUACGUGCCAGCAGCCGCGGUAAUACGUAGGGUGCAAGCGUUGUCCGGAAUCAUUGGGCGUAAAGAGCUCGUAGGCGGUCUGUCGCGUCUGCUGUGAAAACCUGGGGCUUAACCCCGGGCCUGCAGUGGGUACGGGCAGACUAGAGUGCGGUAGGGGAGACUGGAAUUCCUGGUGUAGCGGUGAAAUGCGCAGAUAUCAGGAGGAACACCGGUGGCGAAGGCGGGUCUCUGGGCCGUAACUGACGCUGAGGAGCGAAAGCAUGGGUAGCGAACAGGAUUAGAUACCCUGGUAGUCCAUGCCGUAAACGUUGGGCGCUAGGUGUGGGGCUCAUUCCACGAGUUCCGUGCCGCAGCAAACGCAUUAAGCGCCCCGCCUGGGGAGUACGGCCGCAAGGCUAAAACUCAAAGGAAUUGACGGGGCCCCGCACAAGCGGCGGAGCAUGCGGAUUAAUUCGAUGCAACGCGAAGAACCUUACCAAGGCUUGACAUGCAGGGAAAUCUCCCAGAGAUGGGAGGUCCGCAAGGGUCCUGCACAGGUGGUGCAUGGUUGUCGUCAGC